AUAGUCUUAAGAGCAAGAUGUAGGCUUCUGCUGUAGCCAAAUUUGAACUGUUAUCUGUCUAAACUCAAGCAAUCAUAUUUCAUGGAGAAGUACUCAAGAAUGUUGUUCUAAAAUGACUUUGCAUCUCACCAUUGACUUUACACAGAGUAAAUUUACGUUUAUGUAUUGAUAUGCACACUAAUGUAAUGUUGCUUCUGUAGCGAGAAUUUGAGAUAACUGAUUGAUUUCUUCGAUGCAGAUGACACACCAUAAUGUCGGGACCCCUGUGAUUUCGGAAACCGGGGAGAAUAAAUCACUUGCUGGAAUUAUAGAAAAAGAGAUAACCUCAUCAGGUACAUUCCAUCAGAUCGUAUGAUAAGUAUGGUGUCCAUCAGAGACGUUUUCCGUGUUGUUCUGAGUGAGCAUACAGAUGAGCUCAACCGUUUAAAUGCCUAAAUAUAUACAAGGUCGUUACGAGAUGAUAACGAUGUAAAUAAAUUGACCAUUUUCUUGUAAAUAUUGGCGUGCUUGGGUCUUC